rnacentral:rRNA from 12 species
UGCUGGAGGUAUCAGAAGUGCGAAUGCUGACAUAAGUAACGAUAAAGCGGGUGAAAAGCCCGCUCGCCGGAAGACCAAGGGUUCCUGUCCAACGUUAAUCGGGGCAGGGUGAGUCGACCCCUAAGGCGAGGCCGAAAGGCGUAGUCGAUGGGAAACGGGUUAAUAUUCCCGUACUUGGUGUUACUGCGAAGGGGGGACGGAGAAGGCUAUGUUGGCCGGGCGACGGUUGUCCCGGUUUAAGCGUGUAGGUGUGUGUUCCAGGUAAAUCCGGUUCACUUUAACACUGAGGCGUGACGACGAGGCACUACGGUGCUGAAGCAACAAAUGCCCUGCUUCCAGGAAAAGCCUCUAAGCAUCAGGUAACACGAAAUCGUACCCCAAACCGACACAGGUGGUCAGGUAGAGAAUACCAAGGCGCUUGAGAGAACUCGGGUGAAGGAACUAGGCAAAAUGGUGCCGUAACUUCGGGAGAAGGCACGCUGACACGUAGGUGAAGUGAUUUACUCAUGGAGCUGAAGUCAGUCGAAGAUACCAGCUGGCUGCAACUGUUUAUUAAAAACACAGCACUGUGCAAACACGAAAGUGGACGUAUACGGUGUGACGCCUGCCCGGUGCCGGAAGGUUAAUUGAUGGGGUCAGCGUAAGCGAAGCUCCUGAUCGAAGCCCCGGUAAACGGCGGCCGUAACUAUAACGGUCCUAAGGUAGCGAAAUUCCUUGUCGGGUAAGUUCCGACCUGCACGAAUGGCGUAAUGAUGGCCAGGCUGUCUCCACCCGAGACUCAGUGAAAUUGAACUCGCUGUGAAGAUGCAGUGUACCCGCGGCAAGACGGAAAGACCCCGUGAACCUUUACUAUAGCUUGACACUGAACAUUGAGCCUUGAUGUGUAGGAUAGGUGGGAGGCUUUGAAGUGUGGACGCCAGUCUGCAUGGAGCCGACCUUGAAAUACCACCCUUUAAUGUUUGAUGUUCUAACGUGGACCCGUAAUCCGGGUUGCGGACAGUGUCUGGUGGGUAGUUUGACUGGGGCGGUCUCCUCCUAAAGAGUAACGGAGGAGCACGAAGGUUGGCUAAUCCUGGUCGGACAUCAGGAGGUUAGUGCAAUGGCAUAAGCCAGCUUGACUGCGAGCGUGACGGCGCGAGCAGGUGCGAAAGCAGGUCAUAGUGAUCCGGUGGUUCUGAAUGGAAGGGCCAUCGCUCAACGGAUAAAAGGUACUCCGGGGAUAACAGGCUGAUACCGCCCAAGAGUUCAUAUCGACGGCGGUGUUUGGCACCUCGAUGUCGGCUCAUCACAUCCUGGGGCUGAAGUAGGUCCCAAGGGUAUGGCUGUUCGCCAUUUAAAGUGGUACGCGAGCUGGGUUUAGAACGUCGUGAGACAGUUCGGUCCCUAUCUGCCGUGGGCGCUGGAGAACUGAGGGGGGCUGCUCCUAGUACGAGAGGACCGGAGUGGACGCAUCACUGGUGUUCGGGUUGUCAUGCCAAUGGCACUGCCCGGUAGCUAAAUGCGGAAGAGAUAAGUGCUGAAAGCAUCUAAGCACGAAACUUGCCCCGAGAUGAGUUCUCCCUGAGACUUAGAGUCUCCUGAAGGAACGUUGAAGACGACGACGUUGAUAGGCCGGGUGUGUAAGCGCAGCGAUGCGUUGAGCUAACCGGUACUAAUGAACCGUGAGGCUUAACCUUACAACGCCGAAG